rnacentral:rRNA from 1 species
GGGGAACCGCCUGAACUGAAACAUCUAAGUAGGGCGAGGAAGAGACAUCAAACGAGAUUCCGUAAGUAGUGGCGAGCGAACGCGGAAGAGGGCAAACCGGGAGUAGAAAUACUUCCGGGGUACGGAGCGCAUUUAAGACUUAAGUUGUUAACCGAACGGCAUGGGAAGGCCGGUCAGAGAGUGUGAGAACCACGUAGGUGAAAACGGAGAGAGCUGCGCAGGAUCCAGAGUACGGCCAGACACGUGAAACCUGGUCGGAAUACGGGGGGACCACCCUCCAACCCUAAAUACUACCCAGUGACCGAUAGCGUAUAGUACUGUGAAGGAAAGGUGAAAAGCACCCCGGGAGGGGAGUGAAAAAGAACCUGAAACCCUGUGCCUACAAGCACCUAGAGCGCGUCAAUGCGUGAUAGGGUACUUUUUGUAGAACGGUCCGGCGAGCGAUUGUAUGCAGCAAGGUUAAGGACUUAAGGUCUGGAGCCGAAGCGAAAGCGAGUUUGAAAAGGGCGUUAAGUUGCAUAUAAUGGGCCCGAAACCGGGUGACCUACCCAUGGUCAGGUUGAAGUGGAAGUAAAAUUCCAUGGAGGACCGAACCGACCUCCGUUGAAAAGGCGGCGGAUGAACUGUGGGUAGCGGAGAAAUUCCAAUCGAACCCGGAGAUAGCUGGUUCUCCCCGAAAUAGUUUUAGGACUAGCCUCAAGUUAGAUACCUGGAGGUAAAGCACUGAAUAGCCUAGCGGCCGAGAGGUUAGCGAAGCUUAUCAAACUCAGAAUGCCAGAGUAUUGAUGCUUGGGAGUCAGACAGUGUCAGAUAAAUGUCAUUGUCAAAAGGGAAACAGCCCAGAUCUACAGCUAAGGUCCCAAAGUCAGGUUAAGUGGAAAACGAUGUGAAGAUACGCAGACAACCAGGAUGUUGGCUCAGAAGCAGCCACUCAUUCAAAGAGUGCGUAAUAGCUCACUGGUCGAGCGUCUUUGCGCGGAGAAUUUAACGGGGCUAAACCUGACACCGAAGCUUAGGCAAUACAGCAAUGUAUUGGGUAGGGGAGCGUUGUAUACGCGGAGAAACAGUAGCGCAAGCGGCUGUGGAGUGUAUAGAAGUGAGAAUGCCGGAAUGAGUAGCGCGAAUGCAGUGAGAAUCUGCAUGGCCGAAAGCCUCAGGUUUCUGGAGGAAGGUUCGUCCGCUCCAGGUCAGUCGGGAGCUAAGGUGAGGCCUAACGGCGUAGCCGAUGCACAGACGGUAGAGAUUCCGUCACCACCAAAAGAGUUAAACACAGGGACACAUAUGAAGUCUCGGAGCCGGGUGUUGGUUCCGGUAGCGAUCGAGGGAAAUUAGUACCGAAGUCCGGGAUGGAAGAUGGCGAGAAAAGCUGUGUGUAUUUCUGCGGUGCCCGUACCGCAAACCGACACAGGUAGGUAGGAAGAAGAUUCUAAGGCCAACGGGAGAAGGGUUGUUAAGGAACUCGGCAAAUUGACCCCGUAACUUCGGGAGAAGGGGUGCUGCAGCAAUGCAGCCGCAGAGAAUCGGCCCAAGCAACUGUUUACCAAAAACACAGGUUUGUGCUAAAUCGAAAGAUGACGUAUACGAGCUGACGCCUGCCCGGUGCUGGAAGGUUAAGAGGAGAUGUGCAAGCAUUGAAUCGAAGCCCCAGUGAACGGCGGCCGUAACUAUAACGGUCCUAAGGUAGCGAAAUUCCUUGUCAGGUAAG